AAUUUAGACUCUACUUUUUUAUCUUCGAAAAGCCCUUUGAAACCCUAAACCUAAGUCAUGUUUUCUUUCUAUAAAUCAAUAACAAAGCUUCCGAUUUAUCAAUGGAGGCGCAACGGUUGCAGAUCGAGGGCGUUCAGAUUGAGGAUGAAGAUUUGUAUCUUGCUGAUAUGAUAUAUGUGAUUAUUCAUACAUUAUCACCAUCUUUCGGCUGAGACUGCACCGACUUUGUAACAUGGAAUGUGAUGAUUAUGAUUGUCGCCCCAGUCUUAUUAGCACUCAUUUGUGCUAUAUGGUGAUUGACAAUUACAUUCUGAUUUCAAUGUCUUGAUUGAGCCAAUGAUGAGAAAUUAAUGUCAUGCACCACUCUGAGAUUAACCGUGCUGAUUAUGACCAUCACCAUUGAUUUCUGAGGCUAUGCUAUGUUGUAUAUUUGGAUUAUAUUUUAGUUUUUGAUGAUCUCUCUAUCAUUUAGUUUAAAUCGAAUCAAUGGCCUUGUCUGAAUCUGUUUUUAAAAUUUUUUUUCCUCAAGUCUCAUUUGCCCUUUUGAAGUCUCAUUUGCCCUUUUGAAGUCUCAUUUGCCCUUUUGAAGUCUGGGCACGUUUCUAUAAUUUGUAAUGGGUUUUUGCUAUCUUUGUUAAUGUUUUUUAUAGUUUGUUUUUCCGUUUCUUGUUUGUGUUUUUAAAUUCUUAUUUCCUUUUGAAUAUUCAUUUCCCCUUCCAAGUCUGAGUACAUUUUCAUGAUUUCUGAUAUGCAAUCAUUAUGUCUGAUUUUAGAAUGGACUUCUAUCUGAAAUUGUGUGCAUGCUCAGAACUGUUUUCAAAUCAUAAUAAAGAGAAACCAUCACUUGUCGGCCAUUCCUUUCGUGGUUGGAAGAAUCAAGAUUCGGGUAGUACAUUUUGGCACCUAAACGGAUCAAGAUUCCCGAGUGUUCACUUGCAAUUACAAAAACAGGGCAGAUUAGUAGUAAAGUCCGAUUAUUGAACUAUUAUUUAAUGCAUUUGGAAAAAAAAUGCGAACAAAAUAUUAUCUUUGGGAGGGAAAAGAGAAAUAUGAAUCAAAAUCUCUGUUAUUAAAGAAUCAUGGCGAUAUUAAGAGCUGUCUAUUUAAAAGCAAUAUUUCCCAGUAGCUACGUAUAUCACAGAGCCUAAGGUCCUCAUGUUUUAUGCUAAAGUGGAUUAUUUUUGGAGCCAGGUGAUAGUUCUUGUUUCUUAAGUAUGUGAAUGAUGUAAUCGACAUAAGCUGUGGAAAUAUGGGCUGGGUAAUAAUUCGCAAAGAACGCAACAUUUUCAAUUUAUGUGGGUUUUUCUAUUAUACAUAAUCUAUGCCAGACCCUAGAUGUGUAUGGUAAACACUUCCUGAUCUUGCUGGAUUUUAAUGGGUUGGAAAUUGAACAGGGAAACAACUUAGAAGAUAACGUUUGUUGAGGCACGGAAUGAUGGAUCUGAAACGGAAGCGUUGAAGAGAUGGGACUGGUAACCCUCAAGUUCACAUCAUAGAUAAAUAAUGUGGAAGCGAGUGUUAGGCCUGGAAGCACCCAAUUCAUAUGAUAGAUAAAUGAUUUGAAAGAUAUUCCAUCAAUGGGAG